rnacentral:rRNA from 1 species
CUAAUACAUGCAAGUCGAGCGAGCGGAACCAACAGAUUUACUUCGGUAAUGACGUUGGGAAAGCGAGCGGCGGAUGGGUGAGUAACACGUGGGGAACCUGCCCCUAAGUCUGGGAUACCAUUUGGAAACAGGUGCUAAUACCGGAUAAUAAAGCAGAUCGCAUGAUCAGCUUUUGAAAGGCGGCGUAAGCUGUCGCUAAGGGAUGGCCCCGCGGUGCAUUAGCUAGUUGGUAAGGUAACGGCUUACCAAGGCGACGAUGCAUAGCCGAGUUGAGAGACUGAUCGGCCACAUUGGGACUGAGACACGGCCCAAACUCCUACGGGAGGCAGCAGUAGGGAAUCUUCCACAAUGGACGCAAGUCUGAUGGAGCAACGCCGCGUGAGUGAAGAAGGUUUUCGGAUCGUAAAGCUCUGUUGUUGGUGAAGAAGGAUAGAGGUAGUAACUGGCCUUUAUUUGACGGUAAUCAACCAGAAAGUCACGGCUAACUACGUGCCAGCAGCCGCGGUAAUACGUAGGUGGCAAGCGUUGUCCGGAUUUAUUGGGCGUAAAGCGAGCGCAGGCGGAAAAAUAAGUCUAAUGUGAAAGCCCUCGGCUUAACCGAGGAACUGCAUCGGAAACUGUUUUUCUUGAGUGCAGAAGAGGAGAGUGGACUCCAUGUGUAGCGGUGGAAUGCGUAGAUAUAUGGAAGAACACCAGUGGCGAAGGCGGCUCUCUGGUCUGCAACUGACGCUGAG